rnacentral:RNase_P_RNA from 1 species
AAAUUUGAGUAAUCGCUGCGGCUGGAAAAUGCCGUAGAGGAAAGUCCAUGCUCACACGGUGCUGCGAUGCCCGUAGUGUUCGUGCUUACUGAAUCAAUAAGGUAAGGCAGCUGAGAAGUUGACGGCAGAAGGAAAACCUAAGUCCUUGGAUAUGGUUGAAACUUCUUGAAAGUGCCACAGUGACGGAGCUUAUAAGGAAACUUAUGAGGUGGAACGAGGUAAACCCCGCGAGUGAGAAACCCAAAUUAUGGUAGGGGCAUUCUUCUGAAGGAAUUGAACGGAUGAAGAGACGUAUUAUUACGUAGAUAGAUGAUUACUGCUCAUCGUACGAGACUUCACGGUCGCUUGAGUACGCGAGAACAAAACAUGGCUUACAAAA